GGAAGGCAGGAAAGAGUACCAGUCUUAUAGUCUGUAUGUACUCGUGGCAAAAUGGUGUUCGAAAGGUGGCGAAUAAGGAUUUGCUUGCAGCAUUGAAGAACGAUAAUACAUACUACCAACAUGCCAUAUGAAGUUGCUGAGAAAAUACCAUUUGGUUCCAUACAGAGGAAGUUAAUUUCAUCACUAACGACUCGGACAGAAUGCUUCCACUGUAGAGCAAAGCCUGGAAAGAUUGAAGGACAGAUUUGGGAAAAGGAAAGCAGCCAUGAAGGUG